rnacentral:lncRNA from 1 species
AGGGAUUUAAAAUUGUUAUAAACUAAAUCAUUAUAAAGUCAAGUUGGCAAUGCAAUAUGUUGAAUAUCAACAUCAACUUAUUGAAAAAUAGUAUUUAUUGUUGUACAAAGUUUAGCCAUUGUCUUUAGUUAUUCAGCACUUAGUCUUUUAAGUAUUUUGUUAGUAGGGCAAUGAAUCUCAUAUUAGUUAGGAACAAAAAGAAAAGAGAUUAUGAGUCUAUAUAAGAACCAUAUCCAACAUUGUUUAGAAAAAACAAGGGAAAGGAGACUUUUGGUCUAUAUAAUGAGCUAUGUUAUAAGACUUAUUUGCACCAACCAAAUAUUAGAUUUUCUAUUUGGCUUCUUUAAAUUCAUCUUCUUUUUCUUAUUUUGGAUUAUUGGGGGCUGUAGGUAAAUAUUAGUUUAGUGAUGUCGUGGGCUAUCGUGCACAUUAAAAAAUAAACUUUCAUAGCUACUUGAAAAUUAUCCUUAGUUGUUUAGUUGUUGGAAGGAAAUAUGGUAGUGUGGAAUUGCAUGUCUAGGAAAGGUUCUGGUUGAGGAAACGGUUGGUAUUUAAGAGUGUCCGUUGUGACCUAUCUUUUUUUCCUGGGAACCUACCUGAUGCAUUUUUCAUGAACUACUUUCACGAUUCCAAUAUUUAGUUGUGAGACAUUUGUUGACAAGAUGACAGACCCACAAGUUGUUAGCGAAAUGAAUAAGCUUAAUAACAAUUAUAAUUCAUGGUCAACUUGCAUAAUGUCUUGUAUAUGAGAGGUUGUUAAUGGCAGUGAAGUGAUGCAACCGAAAGCUGAGGAUGCAAGUGGCACACUAGGAAAAUGGAAAAUAAAAGCUGGCAAGACAAUGUUCGCCUUAAAGACAACCAUUUAAGAAGAUGUGUUAGAAUACAUAUGUGAUGCUAAAAUCCUGAAGGAAGCUUGGGAUAUGCUCCCCAAGUUAUUCUCUAAAAGGAAUUAUGCGAAGCUCUAACUUCUAACUUACCAGUAGCACAUGUUAGUAACACAAUAGUUUCCCCUCAACAUAAUAAGAUCAAGGUAGCACUUCAAAAUGUCUAUCAUAUGCUAGGUAUGAGAAAAAAAUCUUGUUUCAGUAGCACAACUAACAUCUACUGGUCAUGUUGUUUUGUUUGGUCCACAAGAUGUGAAAGUAUACCACAAUCUUGAGAAUAUAAAAGAGCUAAUGAUGAAAAGACAAAGAUUAAAGUAAGUCUAUGUGAUGUCAGAAAUUGUAUAUGUUGACACGGCAAGAAGAAAUAAGACGAUGGACUUGUGACUCAUGCAACUAAGUCACAUCAGCUAUUCUAAGAUAGAUGUGAUGGCGAUGAGAUCAAUGUUGAAAGGACUCCCAAAACUUGAAGUGAGAACAAACACAAUAUAUGUGGGUUGUCAAUAUGGAAAAGCACAUCAAUUGUUGUAUGAAGAGUCCAAAUUUAAAGUGAAAGAACCAUUAGAGUUAAUCCACUUUACGUGUCUAGGCAUGUUAAACAAGCCUUCAUGAGUGGAUGAAGUACAUGGUGACCUUCAUUGAUGAUUGUUCCAGUUAUUUUAUGAAGAAAAAUUUAAGGAUCUUUCAAAGUUCAACGAGUUUAAAGGGGUUGUGGAAGUAGAGGUUGUUAAAAGUGUCUGUUGUCUACACAUUGAUGACAAGGGAGAGUACAUCUCAAAUGAGUUUUUAGGUUUCGUUCAAGAAUGUCGGAUAUGCCAUCAAUUCACAUGUGCUAACACUCCACAAUAAAAUGGUGUGGCGGAAUGGAAAAGUAGGCACUUGGCCGAAAUAUGUCAAAGUGUGCUUCAUGCAAAGAAUGUUCCGAGUCUUUUUAUGGCAGAAACAAUGAAAACUGCAGCCUUCGUGACCAAUACUAGGCUUCCUUAAUAAAGGUUAAGUUUUCUUUCUAGUGCAGUAACCUUUUCAUGGUAUGGCAAAAGACAACCAUUAGUAUCUUUGUAAACAAUGGAAGCAGAGUACCGUGCAGGGGAGAUAAUAGCUCAAUAAAGCACUUGACUUUUGCAACUAUUGGUGGACUUGCAUCAACCGGUGGAGACUCCAAUUCCUUUAUAUUGCGACAACGUGUCAACAAUACGCUUGGCAGAGAAUCCAGUCUUUCAUGAAAGAACUAAACAUGUAGAUGUGCAUUAUCAUUUUAUUAGAGAAAGUCUUGCAAGAAGAAAUCAAGCUAGAACAUGUCAGACCGAAGACCAAGUUGCUGACCUGCUCAGAAAAGGCUUGUGUGGCAGCAAGCUCGGAAGCUUCUGUCAUCAGCUGGACAUGGUAAAAGUUGGUGUUAAGAGGGGAGUGUUGAAUAUCAACUCCAACUUAUUGGAAAAUAUAUUUUGCUAGUGUUUAUUGUUGUACAAAGCUUAGCUAUUUUCUUUAGGUUUUAGGUGCCGAGUUUGCUCUUAAGUCUUCUAUUAGUAGGGAAGUAAUGAAUCUCACAUUGUUCAGAACAAAAAGUGAAGUGAGUAUAAGUAUGUAGAAAGAUCAUAUCUCACUUUGCUUAAAAAAAUAAGGGAAAAGGAAUCUAAAGAAUUAGUAACACUAUAUAUAAUCUACUAUGCGUCAUGAGAAUACUACCCAUUCAAUUGUUUGUCUAACAAAUAGGUGACAAAAUUUUUUAUGUUUAAUAGAUGGAUUUGAAUCAAUUGAUGAUUAUAUAUGUAGUUUAUUAAUAACAUUAGUUAUUCUUUAUAACUAAAAAUAUGAUUAUAAAAUAAUAAUAUAUUGAAAAUAUCAUAAUAAUAAACUAUUUAUAAUUUAAAUGUAUAUCGAAAAAUAAAAUAAAAAGAGAUUAUAUAUUUACUUUUAUUGAUAGUAUCCUUUAAUUUUAUUAUAUUUAUUUGUAUUUUGAAAUUAAUAUAAUAUAAGAUCAUUUUUAUUUUUAUUUAUAUAAUUGUUUUAAUUAUAGCUGUUGAAUGUAGAGAUUUUUGUCAAAUACUACGUUGUGAUGCAUGCAGGAUUUAGUAAAUUUGAAGGUUAUCAGUCUCUUCUGUUCUAAGAACCUUGUAAGAAUCCCAGACCUCUCCAACGCCACCAAUCUUGGAAAGAUAUACCUUAACCGGUGUUUUAACUUGUGUGAGCUUCCUCCAUCCCUUCAGCAUCUUGAGAAGCUAACUCAUUUGGACUUCAGUUACUGUAAAAAUAUUAGAUCUCUGCCUAGCUUGUAUAAAGCCACAUCCCUCACCAAACUUGAUCUUAGUGGCUGCUCAAAUCUGUUAAGUUUUCCAGAGGUUUCAUCGAAUGUAACAGAGCUAUGGUUAGAUGGAACUGCAAUUGAAGAAGUUCCUUCCUCCAUCGAAUGUCUCUCUAAUCUUCGUGUAUUCAGCCUAUGGGGAUGCAAGAGGCUUAAAUCUCUCCCCACAAGUAUUCAUAAAUUGAAAUCUCUUGAAAAAUUCAAUCUUAGAGAUUGCUUAAGAUUGGAGACUUUUCCAGAAAUCUUGGACAUCAUGGAGAGGUUGAGAGAUCUUGAUUUGAGCGGAACGGCUUUGAAGGAAUUACCAUCUUCAAUUGACAAUUUUAUUGGUCUUGAAUAUUUGAGAUUGAACAACUGUGAAAACCUUAUUUGUCUUCCUAACGGCUUUUAUAAAUCGAAAUCUCUUUGGGGACUUGAUAUUUGUGGUCGUUCAAAUCUUGUUGUAAAAAACUUGUUUUCUGCCAUUGGAGGCAGACCAGUGAAGCUGAAAGAUCUCCACGGGUUAUCCUCAUUGUACAAAUUAGAUUUAUCUGAAACCAAUCUUGAGAGCUUACCUACAACCAUCAAACAAUUUCCUUGGCUGCAAGAGUUAAUCUUGUGGAAUUGCAAGAGAUUGAAAUCAUUACCAGAGCUUCCCCCAAGCCUAGGACAUUUGGAUGCAGAUAGCUGCACUUCACUAGAGGAAGUGUCCAGCAUUAAAAAGCUUUUUGAGCAAGCACUGUUCUGUCAAGAUGAACCAUAUCGAUGCUUGAAGUUGAUAUUUACCAAUUGCUUCCAACUGAAUGAGAAAGGUGUGGGGAAUCAUGGAACACCAAAGUUGGAGACGCCAUUUAAGCAAACGGUGAAUGUACUAAAAGAUUAUCAUAAGGUCAGCUUCUUCUUCUUCUAUAUAUAUCUUCAAUGUGGACAAUUGAUAUUUAUAUGCAUUGCUGAAUAAUCUAUCAUGUUUCUGAUAAUUGUAAUUGAACAGGCAUCCCCUCAGAGACAUAAGUUUAUUACAUGCGUCCCUGGAAGUGAAAUCCCGGAAUGGUUUGAUUUCAAGAGCUUAGGAUCUUCCAUAAACAUCCAAUUGCCUUCAGAGUGGUGGAUAAACUUUCCAUCUUUUGUUGCUUCCGUCGUUGUUUCAUUCCCAGGGCGUUAUAAUGGUAGGAAUUUUGGCAUUAGAUGUGAAUGUCAUCUAAAAUACUAUAAUGGCGACAGUCAUGACCUUACUUGUUCAUUCUCCCUUUGGGGGGUGGGAGUACUAAACCAUGAAGACCGAAUGUUUGGGUGGGAUCACAUGUUCCUCUUAUAUGAUGAUUUCAAAGUUUGGGAGUUCGUUGAAAGCCAGGCAUCAAACAAGUGCAUUUACAAUGAGGCUUCCUUUAAAUUCUACCCUCUUCAUUAUGGGUCGAAACUAAGGAAUAGUUCUUUGGAGAUAAAACAGUGCGGGGUUCAUCUAUUAUUUGCAAAUUAAGGAUUCAAUGUAUGACAUCUCAAUGAUGCUUCAUAUAUUUCAUCUGCAGUGAAUUUCAAACCCUAAAUAUGUUGUUAAUAUAUAUUUUGUUAAUAUAUAUUUAUCAUAGGUUUUAUUUAUAAAUGUUUAUUUUUCACUCAAAUUUUUAUAUCUUUUUUUUUUUCAUUUUUCAUUUCCUUUUGUUCAAACACAAUUAGAAAUUUAAGGCAUAUCUAAAUGGAUUUAAAUAAAUAUUUAUAACUCAAUGGACAUACUUUAAAAAUAGUAGAAAAAGUUCUAAAUAAAAUUAUAUAAUAAAUCAUAUUUUAUAUUAUUUUUAAGAUAUAAGUGAUUUUUUUUGUCCAAAAUAAAAUAGAUUGCAGUUUUGAAUCAUGAACCAAGAAGAAAAAAAAAAAGACAACAAUUAAUAUUUUUGACUAUUUAUAUAACUGGAUAUAUAUAUAUAAUACAAAACUUAGUUAAAUGGCAAGAUUCAACCUUGAGAAAUUUUUUGGUAAGGCAACAUUGAGAAAUUUAACAUCUUGUAAUAAUUGACUUUAUUAAAACAUAAACAAAAGAAAACAUAGUUCAAAAUUUUGGGUUUUGUUCUUGUGCUAUGAUUCUUUCUUUUGCUAAGUUUUUUUCCCCUCUUUUACCAAGAGGCUAAAAUCUAAAGAUUACAAAAGAACUAAAAUAUUUUAGGAAUAAUAUUUGAUGUGUCGUUAAUUAGUACAUAAAUUUCAUGUACUUUUAUUAAAUAAUAACAUGACAUGUCAUUAUUAAGUUAAACAAAAAAAUAUGAAAGAUUUUUAAAUAAAUAGUAAUAAUUUUAUUUAAACAUGAUUAAACAUUAAUAGCAACUAUUAUAAAUAAAUAUUAAUAAAUCUAAAAUUUAGGGUAUCAAGUUUAAGGGUCUUGAGUUUAAAGUCUAAAGGUAGUAUUUAUUUAUAAUUAAUUACUAUUUAAUGUUUAUAUUGGAGUCGUUUUUAACACAUAUGUGCAUGGGAAUAUGACUCUAAAAAUAUUUCUAAAUAUAUAGAAAAGUUUAAGGGAAUAAUUUAUAUUAGGAUGAUCCUAAUAACUAAAAUUUUUAGGCACCAAUAAAUUUUAAAGACAUGAAAUUAUUAUUAUACACUCAUCUAUAGAGAAAUUAUUUUAUGGACUCUUCUCACCAUAUUAUUCAUGAUCUAUUUCCAAUUAUUUAAUAACAUUUUAACAAUUUUUAUGUCAUUGACACAUAAUUUUGGUAAUUUUUUACCCUGAACCCAAACCCAUAACCUUGAACCUUAAAUCUUGAACAUGAACCCACAACCUCAAACCCUUAAACCCUGAAUCUUAAACCCAAAAUUCAAACUCGAACCCUAAACCUUAAAUCUUGAACCCAAAUCCUAAACUUCGGGAUUCAAGGUUUAAGAUUUAGGGUUAGAGUUUAAGGUUCGAGAUAAAAUAAUUACCAAAAUUAUGUGUCAAUGACAUGGAAAAUAUUGCACUAAAAUUAUUAUUUUUAAAUUGGUUGCAUAAAAAAAUAACUUAUGGAAAAAAAUAUUAAAAUUUGUAAAAUGAGAAAAAAAAAUGUUUGUUUAUAAUUUGAAAAAUUAAUUAUUUUAAGUAAUUUAAUUAAAGUUAAAUUAAGUUGGAAAAGAUAUUAGAUAUAAAUGAGUAUAUAAUAAUACUUUGUUAUCUUUAAAAUUUAAUGACAUGGUACUAUUUAAUUGGUGUCUAAAAACUAUAGAUGAUCCUAAUAUAAUUUAUUCCCAAAAUUUAAAUAUAUUUAUGUCGGACACAUGUAUAUAUAUAUAUCUAAUAUUUAAAUCCGAUUCCAAACCACUAGAUUUUCAUCAGCCAAAACCUAAUCUUGUUUAAAAAUUUGCAAAACUAGUUUUUAUCACUUCUUAGAGGAGCACAAUCAAACAUAUUCUCAAACUGCGCACUAAUCUCUCAUUACCCUUUUUAAGAAAUGAGAAUUGCAUUAUUUUUUAGAGCAUCGUUUCUUACAAACUAUAUAUUCCAUUAUCACCAGAAGCUCCAUUGCUGCAACAAAAUUAUUUUGUUUGUAAAUAUUCGUUUUGAAUGGUAGAUAUUAUGUGAUGGUAUGAGGAGGGUAAAUACAUGUUAUACUAUUUUUUCUUUAACAAUGCAUCUGAGAAGGUUUUUAAUAAUGCAUCAUGUUAUACGUAUUAUAAAUAUAUGUACUCUUUUUCUUCAUUAGAAAAUUUUUUCCACAUGAUUUUUAUGUUAGUAAGGUUUUAAUGAGACACAUUAUCUAUCAAUAGACAUCAAACGAAAAACGUUAUGAAUAUUUUAUUAUUAAGUGAAUGUCAACAAUAUCAAGAUAAGUUUGAUAUACUCUUGUAAUAGUCAUUAGAAGUAGAAUUUUGUUUUAUUUAUAUUUUUUAUGUCCAUAAAUAAAAAAUUUAAAAAAGCAUAAUAAACAUUUUUAUUGAUGUAACAUUAAUGUGACAAUCUAUGUCUAUAACAAAUAAACAUGAUAGUAUAAAAAAUUGAUGUGAUAAAUGUAAUGUGUAAAUAAAAUUAACACAGACAAAAUUAAGAAUAAAAUUAAAAAAGAGUCAAAAUAUUAAAAUAAAAAUUAUUAUAAAUUAAUAAACCAAUUCAUUAAUAAAAAAAAAUAUUUUUUUUAAUUCUAUAAGUUUGAUUUAGGCAUUUAAAUUUUUUUGUUAACUCUAUUUAUAAUUUUUAAAUAUAAAUUGAAAUAAAAAUUGUAUAUUUUUUUACUUUUAACUUGGGAGGAAGGGUUAAAACAUUAUAGUAUAAAUGGUCUCCGAAGACUCAGCUUUCAAUUUGUUGGAGGCUCUUAAAAGUAGUCCAAUUAUUUUCUGUCUAUGGUCCACACGCUUUUGCAGUUGAUGUAAGCGUAGUUGACUUAAAAAACAAUAGUUGUACUCAGAAUCCAAAAAUCUUUCAUCAAAUCCGGCGGAACACCAAUAUGCUUCCUUCAACAUCUUCUUCUUCUGCUGCUGCAGAUACGAACAAAGAAAGGACAUGCGACGUUUUCCUUAGCUUCAGAGGCGAGGAUACUCGUUGUAGUUUCGUAAGUCAUCUGUAUAAGGAUUUGUGUCGAAAGAAUAUCGGAACUUUUAUAGACAGCGAGAAGCUUCAAAGAGGAGAUGGAAUUUCAGAGUCACUGUUGACGGCCAUUCAAGGAUCGAGGAUUUCAGUCAUUGUUUUCUCCAAAGACUACGCUUCUUCCAGAUGGUGCUUGGAGGAGCUGGUCAAGAUCAUGGACUUCAAGAAGUUGAAAGGGCAUUAUUUUGUGGUUCCUGUAUUUUACGGUGUAGAUCCCUCAGAUGUACGGAAACAAAGAGGGAGUUUUGCGGAUGCAUUUGCAAAGCAUGAAGAAAAUUUCAAGCAUGAUGUUGAAAAGGUGAAAUCCUGGAGAAGUGCUUUGACUUCUGCUGCCGAUUUAUCUGGUUGGGAUUCACAAGUCACUCGGUAAUUGCAACUCCUUUUCUUUACAUUCUAUCCUUUUUUAAUUGUUAUUGUUAUAUAUAGAGAGAGAGAGAGAGAGAAUUUUGAAGUUUUUUUUUUUUUUUCACAUUUGAUUAUUUUAUUGGAUGAUGUAGUUUAUAAAAAAGAAAUGUGAAAUAGGAUAAGGGGAUAGAUAAAAUGAUAUUAAAGAAGCUAAAGUCACAAAAAGAAUUUUUGACUUGCCAAACAUAGAAUAUAGAAUUAAUGUAUAGUACAAGAAUCAAAAUAUGUAUAUACUACCCUGUUCGAGUUGAGGGUGGAUAUUUGACAUGAAGGAUAAUUUUUACAAUUUUACCAUAUUUUAAAGCUUAAAAUUUUCUAUUACUAGAUUUAAUUUUUAUAUUUUAAUUUAAUUAUUUUAGUUCUUAUAUUUUUUUAAUUGGUCAAUUUAGUUCCUAUAUUUUUUAAAUUUUAAAAUUUUAGUUUUGACCUAAACCAUAGCAGUUAAGUUCAUUUAGGAUUUGUUUAUUUAACUGAAAAUGACUUUCUUAAAAAUGAUUUACUUUUAUUGAGAAGCUAAUAUUUUUUAGAAUUUUCAAAAAAUGUCUUAUGCUUUUCAAGAGAGUAAGUCAUUUUGGGAAAAUACCUGUAAGUCAUUUUCUGUUGAUCAAAUUAUUUUCUGUGAAACAAAUAAACACAGGAAAAUACAAAAAAAUAUUUUUUGUAAAACAUUUUACAUGUAAACAAACAAACAUUUGGUUAAACUCAAUUACUAGUCAUGUAUUAUGCAUACAGUUCUAGAUUUAGUAUAUUAUUCAAUUGGAUCAUUUUAAGUCAUUAUAUUUUCAAAUUUUGAAAUUUUAAUCUUGAGGCAAAUAAUAAUUGUUAACCUAUAGUGGAAAUUACAAGCUGGCCUGACAUUACAAAUAUAUGAUAGGUUUGUUGCAUUAGAUUUGAAAAUGACAAAACUUAAUUAAUGAAUUUAACAAUUAUCAUCUGGUAAGUACUGGAAUUUUAUAAUUUGAAAAGUAUAGAGAUUAAAAAUAACCAAAUUAAAGUAUAGAGAUUAAAUCCAUAAAUUUCAUAAAGUGUAGGCUAUCUAAAAUUCCUUUUAAGUUUUCCAAAUAUUAAAAAAACAUGAAAAUGCAAAAAAAAGAAAAGAAAAGAAAUAUAUAAAAAAAUUGAAAAAAAAUCUAUUCUUCUUUAAAUAUCAAGUUUAUUAUAUUAUUUUCUUUACCCUCACUUUCUUUUCCUUUAAAUAUAUAUUGAUUUGGAAGAAAAUAGAUUAAGCUUGGACCUUUUUUUCAAGCAGUGAUUCAUGUAUGUUACCCAGAUUGGAGUUAAGGGGCAGAUUCUGAAUAACAUGCCAAGCAUCUACAUUGAACAAUGUUAAUCAAUUGAAUACUCUUUAUCAUCUUUAUUUAUUUACUUAUGUUUCCUUUUUAUUUCUCCCAUAAUUUGUUUCUUCAUUUAAAAUAUAGGCCUGACUCAACACUGGUAGAUAAAAUCGUCAAAGAUAUAUUAAAGAAACUGGAUUGUAGAACCUCAAGCCCUAAUUUAAAGGGUUUAGUUGGAAUUGAGCGGCGGACGCAACAAGUUGUGUCAUUAUUUCAGGUUGGAGAUCUUCUAAAGCUAGGUAUUUGGGGUAUGCAAGGUAUAGGCAAAACUAAACUUGUUGAAGCAAUUUUUUGCCAUGUUUUAAAUGGUUUCCAAAACCACUCCUUUCUGGCAAACGUGAGAGAACAUAAAGAAUCAAGAAAUUUAUCCCAAUUGCGUCAGAAAUUUCUUUCAGACAUACUGGAAGAUGAAAAUUUAGAUAUCUCAACACCCACAAUCAUACCAAGCUUUGUUAAGGACAGGCUUUCUAGAAAGAAGGUUUUAGUAGUUUGUGAUGAUGUGUCAGAGUUAAGCCAAUUCGAGUUUUUAUUCGGAGGAAUCCGAUCGGUUCGGCCGUGGAAGUCUACUCAUUGUUACCACUAGAAAUAGGCAAGUGCUUUUCCAGUGUGGCAUGAAUCUCAUUUAUGAAGCCAAGAAAUUAAAUAAAUAUGAAUCUAUUCAGCUCUUUUGCCAACAUGCCUUCAAAAGCAAUCAUCCUAUAGAAUAUCAGUUGGGGCUAUCACGGAUGGUUUUAAGUUUUGCUAAUGGAAACCCAUUGGCUAUUAAAUUUUUCGGGUCCCCUCUUUAUGGAAAGAACAAGAACUACCAGGAAAGAGCAGUAAAAGAACUAAAGCAGAUUCCUAACCCAGACAUUCUUAAAUUGUUCAGAAGCAGUUUUGAUGGACUAAAUCCUGUAGAGAAAGACAUAUUUCUUGACAUUGCUUGUUUCUUUAAAGGGGAGGAUCGAGACUUUGUAACAAGGAUUAUGGAGGCCUGUUAUCCUUCUGCAUAUUCAAGAAUUGAGAACCUCAUUGAUAAGUCUCUCAUAUAUAUUUCACAAAAUAAAAUAGAAAUGCAUGAUAUAUAACAACAGUUGGGUUGCAAUAUUGUUCACUAUGAAUCACCUUCAAAGCCUGAAAAUCGCAGUAGGCUGUGGAUUCCUGAAGAGAUCUAUGAUGUGCUAACAAAAAACAAUGUAAGGGACUUGUUCAUUUUCUCUGAACAAAUCCAUGUUUGACAGUCAUGUUUUAGUCUUAUUCGAACACACAUCUUUUUAUUAAAUACAUACAUGCAUAUGAUAAUUAUCUUGAAUUAAUAUAUUGCCUAUAUUUUGACUCCAUAAACUGCUCUUGGGUUUAGGGAACGGAAACGCUCACAGGCAUUGUACUUGAUAUGUCCAAACUUGAAAAGUUGGAAUUGGAACCAAUAGCAUUUAUGAAGAUGCGGAAGCUUAGAAUCCUCAAAUUCUAUAAUUCGUGUGGAAGAACCUUACUUUUUAAAGAGCUUUUAUCACUUCCUGACGAGCUAAGGUACCUUUGCUGGGAGGGAUAUGAUGGGAAGAAACCGAACAACCGAAACAAAGCGAAAGCACAACCGGUGUUCUUUCUCUCCUUAUAACUCCUGUAAAAAAUUAUGGCAAGCACAAUAGCACAAGAUAUGUUCUCUAGCAACCUUAAUCAACCACAAAUCAACUAAUGCAACCACAACAAAAAUAAAUAGAGACACCAAUAUUUUUACGUGGAAAAACCCCUCUAAAUUAAGGGUAAAAACCACGGGACUUUAGAGUCCGAUAAAGAGCUCCACUAUCAUCAAAUGUUCAACUACAAGAUCACAAUAUCAAGCCUACAACAAGCAUUCAACUCCGACAAGGCUAACAACAUGUAAUCUUUAGCAAAAGAGAGAAAAAUGAGAGAACAUCACCAAAAACGUAGCUACUGAAAAAUGGGUAUUUCCGACGCUACAAGACUCGGAUGAAAAAUCCGACCGUACAAAGUCAAGAACACCUUAUCACCUAGCUGCUGUCCAAAAAUCAGCUCAAUCGAACCACGGAUGGACCUUCGAUCGAAGAGUUGAUCACUGCUGCACCAAGCUUGAAAAUCUGAUUUUUUCUAUUCUCUUUCUCUCUAUUUUUCUUUUAGCUCUCUGCAGAAAAAUUUCUGCCCACUCCCGUUAAUAAGCCAAAAAGAAUUGGCUUUUGACAAAACCAAAAGAAAAAGGGAAGGCAAAACAUUUGUGCCAGAAAAUAUGGGUUUCCCACAUAGUGGGACCCAUACCCAACAAAUCUCCCCCUCCAACUAUGUGGGGAAUGCCUCCAUACCGGAGGUCAAACAACAUGCUUCAAAUUUUCCUCUUGGUAAGGCCUUCGUCAACAUAUCAGCACCAUUAUCAUUAGUGUGUAUCUUCUCAAGCUCUAACAACUUAGCUUCAAGAACAUCUCGUAUCCAAUGGUACCUCACAUCAAUAUGCUUAGAUCUAGCAUGAAAAGUUGAGUUCUUACCAAGAUGAAUAGCACUCUGGCUAUCACAGUACAGGACAUACUUCUCCUGAGUAAAACCAAGCUCAUGCACAAACUUCUUCAUCCAAAGCAUCUCCUUACACGCUUCGGUUGCUGCAAUGAACUCUGAUUCGGUGGUGGACAAUGCAACACACUUUUGCAGUCUCGAUUGCCAUGCCACAGCUCCCCCUGCAUAAGUGAUUAAGUAACCUGAAGUAGAUCUCCUCGAGUCAAUGUCUCCAGCCAUGUCUGAAUCUGUAUACCCAACAAGAACAGGUUUCUCAUUGCCGAAACAAAGUUUCAUGUUGGAAGUGCCACGAAGAUAUCUCAUAAUCCACUUCACUGCAUUCCAAUGCUCUCUGCCUGGAUUAGAAAGAAACCGACUAACUGUACCAACGGCAUAAGCCAAGUCUGGUCUCGUGCAAACCAUUGCGUACAUCAAACUACCCACGGCUGAAGAGUAAGGAAUUUUCUGCAUCUCUUCCUUCUCCUUUUCUGUGGAAGGACUAUGCUUAACACUCAAUCUGAAGUGCAUAGCAAAGGGAGUAUUCACCGCUUUAGCUUUGUCCAUACUAAACCUUUGAAGUACUUUCUCAAUGUACCUCUCUUGUGAUAACCAUAAUUUCUUGGCCUUUCUAUCACGUGUCAGUCUUAUGCCAAGAAUUUGCUUUGCUGGCCCCAAAUCCUUCAUUGCAAAGGAUUUACUCAACUCUUGUUUCA